rnacentral:rRNA from 1 species
AUGCACGCUGGCGGCGUGCCUCAUCCCUGCAAGUCGCGCGCACGGACGAGAAGCUUGCUUCUCUGCUGUUAGCGGCGGACGGGUGAGUAACACGUGGAUAACCUACCUAUAAGACUGGGAUAACUUCGGGAAACCGGAGCUAAUACCGGAUAAUAUUUUGAACCGCAUGGUUCAAAAGUGAAAGACGGUCUUGCUGUCACUUAUAGAUGGAUCCGCGCUGCAUUAGCUAGUUGGUAAGGUAACGGCUUACCAAGGCAACGAUGCAUAGCCGACCUGAGAGGGUGAUCGGCCACACUGGAACUGAGACACGGUCCAGACUCCUACGGGAGGCAGCAGUAGGGAAUCUUCCGCAAUGGGCGAAAGCCUGACGGAGCAACGCCGCGUGAGUGAUGAAGGUCUUCGGAUCGUAAAACUCUGUUAUUAGGGAAGAACAUAUGUGUAAGUAACUGUGCACAUCUUGACGGUACCUAAUCAGAAAGCCACGGCUAACUACGUG